UUUCCGUAGGUGAACCUGCGGAAGGAUCAUUCACAAUAAGUGUUUUAUGGCACUUUCUCAAUCCAUAUCCACCUUUUGUGGAAUGUUGUCUUGUAGUGCGAAUGCUUGUCAUUUGCGCUACAGGAUGUAAACAUCACCUCUUAUCUUUAACAACUUUGUCUAAAACCUGUAUGAAUACUUAAUUCAAAUACAACUUUCAACAACGGAUCUCUUGGCUCUC
rnacentral:misc_RNA from 1 species